AGUCAAGCAACACCAAAUGAGGACAGCGUGAAGUCGAACACUCACUGUUUAAAAGCGUGCCUUGAAACAUUAAACCAGCAGUACUAUAAACAGUUUGUGUGUCUCACUAGCUGCCUAGGGUGGCACCAAACACCUGGACUCAGGCGACUGUUCCUGUCUCAGCCUUUGGAGGAGCUAAGAGGAUCAGAGCUACUGGUGGCAAAGCUACUCCUGUCCAGAGGCACUGUGCACUAACUUUCCGCUGGACUGUCAGGCUGCCUUCUGUACCCGACGUUUUCAUACACAUGUCCGUCUGUAGUAACAGGGGACUGAGUGAAGCAUGGUGUAUGCAGGACUGCUCUUGUCACUCACUGGCCAUAUCUGAGUUCCAGUGGCUUUAGGGGUGAGUCCACAUCAUAGGCAAACCCCUCUCAAGGUUUGGUGGGAAGUGGCAUUGUUAUUGGGGAAACUGGAAAGGAACGGAGCGGGGAGAGGUGAGCUAACAGCGGCUCAAGUUCUUUUCUGGGACAGCAAGGAUACAAAGACACAGGCCUCAGAGCUCAGUAACUUCGUUUUUAAUGUAAGCACUUCAUUUUCAAAUACAAAAGCAGGUGGAUAUGCCAUGCCUUCCGCUGGCACUGGUGCACAACCCAGACUGCUUCUCCUGACUCUCACCCCAGGAUUUCCCAUGUUGCAGCUGCACUGUCCAGGGCCCUGGCCGUCCUGAAGUGGAGCUGCACAGGAUCCCUGAACUCAGCCAGGUAAUGGGGUUGGCAUUGCCGGCCUGCGAAGGCAUUUCCAGGAGCCUGUCCCAGAUUCUGUGUAGCUCUACAGAGGACCCUUUGAGGGGAGGGCACCUAUUCAUAAAAAACUGAAAAGGUCUGGGACUUUUGCUUUU